rnacentral:rRNA from 1 species
UACGGAGGAUCCAAGCGUUAUCCGGAUUUAUUGGGUUUAAAGGGUGCGUAGGCGGCUUUUUAAGUCAGUGGUGAAAGACAACAGCUCAACUGUUGCAGUGCCAUUGAUACUGAAGAGCUUGAGUACAGAUGAGGUAGGCGGAAUUUAUGGUGUAGCGGUGAAAUGCAUAGAUACCAUAAAGAACACCUAUUGCGAAGGCAGCUUACUAGCUGUAACUGACGCUGAGGCACGAAAGUGUGGGGAUCAAACAGG